rnacentral:rRNA from 1 species
UACGUAGGGUGCAAGCGUUGUCCGGAAUUAUUGGGCGUAAAGAGCUCGUAGGCGGUUUGUCGCGUCUGCUGUGAAAACUCGGGCUUAACUCCGGUCUGCGGUGGAUACGGGCAGACUAGAGGCAGGUAGGGGAGAACGGAAUUCCCGGUGUAGCGGUGAAAUGCGCAGAUAUCGGAGGAACACCGGUGGCGAAGGCGGUUCUCUGGGCCUGUACUGACGCUGAGGAGCGAAAGCGUGGGGAGCGAACAGG